AGUCGUACGCUUCUUUUUCCACCGGAGCUUGCUCCACCGGAAAAAGAAGAGUGGCGAACGGGUGAGUAACACGUGGGUAACCUGCCCAUCAGAAGGGGAUAACACUUGGAAACAGGUGCUAAUACCGUAUAACAAUCGAAACCGCAUGGUUUUGAUUUGAAAGGCGCUUUCGGGUGUCGCUGAUGGAUGGACCCGCGGUGCAUUAGCUAGUUGGUGAGGUAACGGCUCACCAAGGCCACGAUGCAUAGCCGACCUGAGAGGGUGAUCGGCCACAUUGGGACUGAGACACGGCCCAAACUCCUACGGGAGGCAGCAGUAGGGAAUCUUCGGCAAUGGACGAAAGUCUGACCGAGCAACGCCGCGUGAGUGAAGAAGGUUUUCGGAUCGUAAAACUCUGUUGUUAGAGAAGAACAAGGAUGAGAGUAACUGUUCAUCCCUUGACGGUAUCUAACCAGAAAGCCACGGCUAACUACGUGCCAGCAGCCGCGGUAAUACGUAGGUGGCAAGCGUUGUCCGGAUUUAUUGGGCGUAAAGCGAGCGCAGGCGGUUUCUUAAGUCUGAUGUGAAAGCCCCCGGCUCAACCGGGGAGGGUCAUUGGAAACUGGGAGACUUGAGUGCAGAAGAGGAGAGUGGAAUUCCAUGUGUAGCGGUGAAAUGCGUAGAUAUAUGGAGGAACACCAGUGGCGAAGGCGGCUCUCUGGUCUGUAACUGACGCUGAGGCUCGAAAGCGUGGGGAGCAAACAGGAUUAGAUACCCUGGUAGUCCACGCCGUAAACGAUGAGUGCUAAGUGUUGGAGGGUUUCCGCCCUUCAGUGCUGCAGCUAACGCAUUAAGCACUCCGCCUGGGGGAGUACGACCGCAAGGUUGAAACUCAAAGGAAUUGACGGGGGCCCGCACAAGCGGUGGAGCAUGUGGUUUAAUUCGAAGCAACGCGAAGAACCUUACCAGGUCUUGACAUCCUUUGACCACUCUAGA
rnacentral:rRNA from 1 species